rnacentral:rRNA from 1 species
UACGGGGGGAGCAAGCGUUGUUCGGAUUUACUGGGCGUAAAGGGCGCGUAGGCGGCGCAACAAGUCACUUGUGAAAUCUCCGGGCUUAACCCGGAGCGGCCAAGUGAUACUGUCGUGCUAGAGUGCGGAAGGGGCUACUGGAAUUCCUGGUGUAGCGGUGAAAUGCGCAGAUAUCAGGAGGAACACCAAUGGCGAAGGCAGCACUCUGGGACGUGACUGACGCUGAGACGCGAAAGCGUGGGGAGCAAACAGG